GCAUUCACCAAUCAACAUACAGGUUCUCAUAAAAUCGUCGCUUCCAACUCGAACGGCCAUCAUUGUCAGCAUCCAGAACAGACCUAACUCCAUCUCGACACAAGACGCUUUUCAUUUUUGUGUUUAGAAAACAAAACCAACAGUAUGCGUGCUUUGUUGUUCUUAACGCUGGCCCUAAUUCUCCUGGUUUCAUUGCCGCUAACCACAGCCGGCGAAAGUCCUGCCGAGAAAGACAAGAAGAUAUGCGAGGGCAAAUGCGGGACAGGUUGCCGAGGUGAUAUGACGAAGUGCAUUAAAAAGGCUCAGCAGUGCAAAAUGGCCUGUAAAAAUGUAGAGGGGUGAAUGCGUGUAACUUCGACGAAGGACUCGAUCAUUUGGAACGAAUUUCGGGAAAUUGUUUUCAGGAGGCAAUUCAAUGGAAUGCGAUGAAUUCUAAGCAAAGUAAACCAAGUAAUAUAUGACUGGCGUAAAAGAAAAAGGACUCAGUUUUUCAAUUGACAUCAAACGAACAUUACAUACAGUCACACAGUCCUCUUAGAAAUUAAGAUUUUGAGGUUUUGAAAACACUCAAUGUUUUUUUCGAAUUGAAAAAUCCUUGGACGUUUUUUCAGGAUAUCAAAAACCAUAAUGAAAACCUCAUGAAAACCUCUAAUGAUUAGAGGUUUUCAUGUUAUUGAAGACCCCUACAAACUGCAUCUUUGUGUUGGCCAAAACGCUAUUAUAGAAUUUCAAAAGCUUAAACAACCUUUAUUUCUAAGAGUGUACGAAUUAGAUCUACGGAUCAGAGUAUCGGAACCUCGGGGAAUAUCUAAUCAUAUACGGUGUAGUUCCAAUAAUGCAAUUAAAUUCGAUUAAAAUAAAAUUUUGACUGAUAACAAUUGA